rnacentral:pre_miRNA from 1 species
UGUGGGUGUGGGUGUGGGUGUGGGUGUGGGUGAGGGUAAGGGUGUAGUUGUGUAUCUCUUCUUUCUUCUCACACCCACACCCACACCCACCCACACCCACA